rnacentral:piRNA from 1 species
CACACAGUGCUCCUGAGAAUGGGCUUC